CAAUCGGCAGCGGGGGGCAAAAACCCAUCAGCAGUCGCAAUUGUUCGUCACUAGACAAUGUCGAAAUCACAACAAUCAACAUUCGAAAGAAACUUCUGGACCUUCCAGGCGGUCGAGUCUACUUUCAGACUUCGCGAGCUUCUCCGAUCGUUUGGCAUUCGAACGACACGCUGUACCACGUGUAUCGGUGUGUGUCAGUUGCCAUUCCCGUGUGUUUUGCGAUUGAAACACUCCGCGAUUAAAAUAUUUCGUCGACUCUUUCGAAACAUUUACUCGGACUAUCGUUGGCGUCCAGUUCAUUCCGAUUCAUUCCGAUCGAAUCGUACAUACGCGAGUGUCAGUGUCACGAGUGAGUGUCCGUUAUGAUGGACCCGACGUCGAGAACCAAGAUGCUAGAUCGGGAAGUCAGGAAGGAGCACGUACGACGUGAGCAACGAUAAAUUAUAUAUUUCCAGAUCUGGUGGCGCUUGUGGUCACUGCGGAUGCAGACACGCGUGGGGUUACAGUUCAAGUGGAUACAGGAUGCAGCACCGGAGGACUCGGUUCGGGCCGAGCAAGGGCGGCUCAAAGAUUUCGGAACGUAGCCAGUUCUGAGUUUCGAGCUAUUCAUUUCGUUUGCAGAUUUUCACUUCAUCUCUCGCCGAGAGCAAAUUCGUAAAUAUACCGAUCCUAGAUCAAAAUUUGAAUAAAUGAAAAUUUAUUCGCCGUUGUCGCGUUGACGUAUUCGCAUUAAAUGUCGUUAUAAUGAGAAUAUCAGUGUCGCGUCGCGAGUGAAGUGCAAUCAACGCUUAUGUACGACGACACGAAAGGACAACGUCAACAGGGACUGGACUUCCACCAGAUGCCAGGAGGAUGUAACAAGUUUCGUUGGUCUGACUGGACAUCGAGGGACUACAACGCAAAAUGGUGAGUAAUGAAUUUCAUCACUCAUAGAGUAUCAUUUCACACAUACGGAGAGAAUCUUAUACACGGAAAAAACAAUUCUGUUGGUGCAAACAACCGAAUUUUCGGUUGUUCAGACGAAAACUCGACUGUAGGAACAGGAAAAUUCCUUCACGAGGCUUCUGUAUAAUCAAUUGUUCUCAGUUGUUUCAACUGAAUUCUAAUAUCGUUGAAUGUUCAGACGAAUAUUUUCGGUUGCGACAACAGAAAUAUUAGUUUUCAUAACAGAGAUAUCGCUUCUGAUCACCUAAUUUUCAGUUGAUUCCUAAUUAGUUGCACCAACUGAAAUUUUUUUUGCGUGUAGUAACAAUUACUGUGCAGCCAAGGAGUAGAUCGACAUUAUGCAGUAAAGUUCUUAUCAGUAAUUCUUAUUCUAUUUUUUCAUCUCAUAUAUGUUACUACAUAUAUAUUUCAUUUUAUAUAUAUUUAUAUAUUUUCGGAACUGAAAUGUGCUAUUAAAACACCUGCUGGAUUUCUUUGGCGAAAUCUGCUAUAUUUUUAUCAUAAACUAUUAUGUUCCUUAGCAAGGUAGA